AUUUAAAUACAGACAAAAUAGUAUGCAUUUACUAACACCACAUCUCACCCCCACGAAACUUGGUAAGGGCAGCAACAGAACUUUAUCUGCCAUAUGCACUCCUGUAUUCCUAUUACCAAAUAGUGCCAGGGACUAAGUGAAUAUUUGUCCAAUGAAUGAGUUUUAAGUAGGAAACGUUUGCAUAGAAUCAUUUUGUUUCUUUUGGAGUUCAAAUCUUCGGAUAUUUUACCCUUCCCAAUCCAAAGAAAAGUCUCUGAGUGAAGAGAUGGGAACAAAAUAUCAUCUUUGUAACAAGAAGAAAACCAACCAAAUGAAAAUGAAAUGAAUUCUCUCAAAAAGAAUUAAGUCAAGACAGGAAGAAGGCUCGCAAAGUAAUAUAAAAUAUAUCUUAUGGUUUAUGGAAAAUUCUUAAUAAAAUACCUUCUUUGCUCCAA
rnacentral:lncRNA from 10 species